rnacentral:lncRNA from 1 species
UGAUUUGACCUACGCACCGCUACUGCUACUCAUGUGAAGCUGAGAUACGUAAGAUACGCAGUGAGACCUUAGUGAAUACGCCGUUACCGUGACAACAUUGAGAAAAGCAUGGUCAUGUAUGGCCAAGUGUGUGUAAUUGAAGAAUCUGAUGAUGUCCGGUGUAGCAAUUGAGGUAGAAUGCACGUUGACGAAUUCCCAGAGUGCCCUGCUAGGGUGAAGGAGUUUGAAGUAACAAGGAUCUGUGCUGUACAGCAGGUCUCCUACAGGGAGGGAAGUAGUUGAAGGAGCAAGGAUCUGUGCUGUACAGCAGGUCUCCUACAGGGAGGGAAGUAGUUGAAGGAGCAAGGAUCUGUGCUGUACAGCAGGUCUCCUACAGGGAGGGAAGUAGUUGAAGGAGCAAGGGGAGUUGUGGAAGCUAUGGCAGUGGAUGCCCCGCAGCCUGUAGAGAUUCACAAUGUCGUUC